CUACGGGGGGCUGCAGUGAGGAAUAUUGCACAAUGGGGGGAACCCUGAUGCAGCAACGCCGCGUGAGGGACGACGGCCUUCGGGUUGUAAACCUCUUUUAGCAGGGAAGAAGCGAAAGUGACGGUACCUGCAGAAAAAGCACCGGCUAACUACGUGCCAGCAGCCGUGGUAAUACGUAGGGUGCAAGCGUUGUCCGGAAUUAUUGGGCGUAAAGAGCUCGUAGGCGGUUUGUCGCGUCUGCUGUGAAAAUCCGAGGCUCAACCUCGGACCUGCAGUGGGUACGGGCAAACUAGAGUGCGGUAGGGGAGAUUGGAAUUCCUGGUGUAGCGGUGGAAUGCGCAGAUAUCAGGAGGAACACCAAUGGCGAAGGCAGAUCUCUGGGCCGUAACUGACGCUGAGGAGCGAAAGCGUGGGGAGCGAACAGGAUUAGAUACCCGUGUAGUC
rnacentral:rRNA from 1 species